UCCGGCUUUGGCGUCGAUAUCUCGACGACUAGAGGCAGCGAGGAGCCUCCCCAUACCGCAAUCGUACGCUCAAUUUCACUGACAAUUUGAGCCAUAGGCCAUCGAAAUCUGUCUGCCUAAUUGGAUGUUGGCGUGGGUUCACGGAAGGGAACCAAUAGGGCAUGUGGACGUUUAAUGUAUCUGGAUUCAAUGCUCAUAAUAAACGAGCGUGUGAAUACAGUGUUAUAGAGCUGCUGUGUUCGCGUCAAAUUGACGUGGAAAGGGACACUUGCGUCGGGAUGCGGAUGGUGAUUUGUAGGAAACGUUUGCAUCGCCGAGCCGCGUGGAGAGAGAAAAGGUGCGUCAUAGUUCGCUUGUACGAAGAACAUCUCCACGUUAGCGUUGAGCAGUUUAGAGAGGAAACAGUUGCGCAGCCGCCCUUGUUAACAAGUCCCGACUGGCGCCCGCAUAGUUCAAUGCAGCCCUAAAGGACAUUUACCAACUUCUCAAUUGUGAGAUACAAUUGAACGUACUUCUCUGUGGGCAAUUGAUCGUGUUUCUGAAGUUGUGUAGGCGGCGUUACAUGCCAAUAUUUACGAUUCGUGCUUCUCAGUAGACAUACCCACAAUUUGAAAUUCCCCCUGCAUCCUGGACCAACAGUGUCCCGGUAUUGACAGCAUGAUGGAAGCCGUCGGUGGUACAGAGGGUCACCAUAUCAGGAGUACCUUAUCAGCAUAUUGGAUGCUGUUCCGAAUAGAGCAGCCAGAUUCAUCUCACGUGCGCAAAAUUGCCGAAAAAUGCAGGAGCCCAUGCGAAGUGUACCAGACACGCUCCCACACAUGGUGUUGGUGUGCCCGCACCGCGAGAAAAACAGUGAAGAUGAUGCCUCAGAACCGCUACAAGCGAUCGAAGAAACGUGGGAGGCAAUGUUAAAGGCACAGAGCCUGGAAGAUCAGCGAAGUCUGGUUGACCGGGCCCGGGCUGCAGCAUUAGCCAACGGCUUUCUGGACUAAGAGAGCCGCCCACCUAGGGCGAAGAAAGGACACUUUCUCGCUGUUUCUUACAAUAAACGUUCAUUCCUCCUC